UACAGAGGGUGCAAGCGUUGUUCGGAAUUAUUGGGCGUAAAGGGUGCGUAGGCGGUGCGGUAAGUCUGUAGUGAAAUCUCUGGGCUCAACUCAGAGUCUGCUAUAGAAACUGCCGUGCUUGAGUGUGGGAGAGGUGAGUGGAAUUCCCGGUGUAGCGGUGAAAUGCGUAGACAUCGGGAGGAACACCUGUGGCGAAAGCGGCUCACUGGACCACAACUGACGCUGAUGCACGAAAGCUAGGGGAGCAAACAGG
rnacentral:rRNA from 1 species